rnacentral:rRNA from 1 species
GACGAACGCUGGCGGCGUGCUUAACACAUGCAAGUCGAACGGUGAAGCGCCUUCCUUUUUGGUGGGUGUGGAUGAGUGGCGAACGGGUGAGUAACACGUGAGUAACCUGCCCCCUUCUUCUGGAUAACCGCAUGAAAGUGUGGCUAAUACGGGAUAUUCUGGGUCUGUCGCAUGAUGGGUCUGGGAAAGAUAUUGUUUCGGUGGGGGAUGGGCUCGCGGCCUAUCAGCUUGUUGGUGGGGUGAUGGCCUACCAAGGCGGUGACGGGUAGCCGGCCUGAGAGGGUGGACGGUCACACUGGGACUGAGAGACGGACCAGACUCCUACGGGAGGCAGCAGUGGGGAAUAUUGCACAAUGGGAGCAAGCCUGAUGCAGCGACGCCGCGUGAGGGAUGGAGGCCUGCGGGUUGUGAACCUCUUUCGCCAGUGAAGCAGGCCUGCCUCGUUUGUGGGUGGGUUGACGGUAGCUGGAGAAGAAGCGCCGGCUAACUACGUG